rnacentral:lncRNA from 1 species
GACCUGAUGCCCAGAACCCUUGAGGGACAGAUCACCAUGGAGAAGACGCCCAGCUACUUUGUGACCCGGGAAGCACCCGCACGCAUCUCAGCCAUGUCCAAGGACACCAAGCUCAUCGUGGUGGUGCGCGACCCGGUGACCAGGGCCAUCUCGGACUACACGCAGACGCUGUCCAAGCGGCCGGACAUCCCCAGCUUCGAGAGCCUGACGUUCCGCAACCGCAGCGCGGGCCUCAUAGACACGUCCUGGAGCGCCAUCCAGAUCGGUCUGUACGCCAAGCACCUGGAGCCCUGGCUGCGCCACUUCCCGCUCGGCCAGAUGCUCUUCGUGAGCGGGGAGCGCCUGGUCAGCGACCCGGCCGGGGAGCUGCGCCGCGUGCAGGAUUUCCUGGGCCUCAAGCGCAUCAUCACCGACAAGCACUUCUACUUCAACCAGACCAAGGGCUUCCCGUGCCUCAAGAAGGCGGAGGGCAGCGGCAAGCCGCACUGCCUGGGCAAGACUAAGGGCCGCGCGCACCCCACCAUCGCGCGCGAGGUGCUGCGGCAGCUGCGUGACUUUUACCGGCCCUUCAACCGCAAAUUUUACCAGAUGACCGGCCGCGACUUCGGCUGGGACUGAGUCUCCCCUCGCAGCCUAUCUAUUGAGAGAGAGUAUAUGUAUGUAAAAUGUACAGAAAUCUAUUUUAUAAUAAUUUAUUUUUAA